rnacentral:rRNA from 1 species
UGGGGAAUAUUGCGCAAUGGUCGAAAGACUGACGCAGCGACGCCGCGUGGAGGAUGACGCCCUUCGGGGUGUAAACUCCUGUUGCUCGGGACGAACCUCCCCUUUCGAGGGGACUGACGGUACCGGGUGAGGAAGCACCGGCUAACUCUGUGCCAGCAGCCGCGGUAAUACAGAGGGUGCGAGCGUUGUUCGGAAUCACUGGGCGUAAAGGGCGCGUAGGCGGCUUGGUAAGCGUGCGGUGAAAGCUCGGGGCUCAACCCCGAGUCUGCCGUGCGAACUGCCGAGCUGGAGCACGGUAGAGGCACAUGGCAUUCCGGGUGUAGCGGUGGAAUGCGUAGAGAUCCGGAAGAACACCGGUGGCGAAGGCGGUGUGCUGGGCCGUAGCUGACGCUGAUGCGCGACAGCGUGGGGAGCAAACAGG